rnacentral:rRNA from 1 species
UUGCGACAGGCUUAACACAUGCAAGUCGAGGGGCAGCACAGGUAGCAAUACCGGGUGGCGACCGGCGCACGGGUGAGUAACGCGUAUGCAACUUGCCUAUCAGAGGGGGAUAACCCGGCGAAAGUCGGACUAAUACCGCAUGAAGCAGGGGCCCCGCAUGGGGAUAUUUGCUAAAGAUUCAUCGCUGAUAGAUAGGCAUGCGUUCCAUUAGGCAGUUGGCGGGGUAACGGCCCACCAAACCGACGAUGGAUAGGGGUUCUGAGAGGAAGGUCCCCCACAUUGGUACUGAGACACGGACCAAACUCCUACGGGAGGCAGCAGUGAGGAAUAUUGGUCAAUGGCCGAGAGGCUGAACCAGCCAAGUCGCGUGAGGGAUGAAGGUUCUAUGGAUCGUAAACCUCUUUUAUAAGGGAAUAAAGUGCGGGACGUGUCCCGUUUUGUAUGUACCUUAUGAAUAAGGAUCGGCUAACCCCGUGCCAGCAGCCGCGGUAAUACGGAGGAUCCGAGCGUUAUCCGGAUUUAUUGGGUUUAAAGGGUGCGUAGGCGGCCUUUUAAGUCAGCGGUGAAAGUCUGUGGCUCAACCAUAGAAUUGCCGUUGAAACUGGGGGGCUUGAGUAUGUUUGAGGCAGGCGGAAUGCGUGGUGUAGCGGUGAAAUGCAUAGAUAUCACGCAGAACCCCGAUUGCGAAGGCAGCCUGCCAAGCCAUUACUGACGCUGAUGCACGAAAGCGUGGGGAUCAAACAGGAUUAGAUACCCUGGUAGUCCACGCAGUAAACGAUGAUCACUAGCUGUUUGCGAUACACUGUAAGCGGCACAGCGAAAGCGUUAAGUGAUCCACCUGGGGAGUACGCCGGCAACGGUGAAACUCAAAGGAAUUGACGGGGGCCCGCACAAGCGGAGGAACAUGUGGUUUAAUUCGAUGAUACGCGAGGAACCUUACCCGGGUUUGAACGCAUUCGGACCGAGGUGGAAACACCUUUUCUAGCAAUAGCCGUUUGCGAGGUGCUGCAUGGUUGUCGUCAGCUCGUGCCGUGAGGUGUCGGCUUAAGUGCCAUAACGAGCGCAACCCUUGCCACUAGUUACUAACAGGUAAAGCUGAGGACUCUGGUGGGACUGCCAGCGUAAGCUGCGAGGAAGGCGGGGAUGACGUCAAAUCAGCACGGCCCUUACAUCCGGGGCGACACACGUGUUACAAUGGCGUGGACAAAGGGAAGCCACCUGGCGACAGGGAGCGAAUCCCCAAACCACGUCUCAGUUCGGAUCGGAGUCUGCAACCCGACUCCGUGAAGCUGGAUUCGCUAGUAAUCGCGCAUCAGCCAUGGCGCGGUGAAUACGUUCCCGGGCCUUGUACACACCGCCCGUCAAGCCAUGGGAGCCGGGGGUACCUGAAGUCCGUAACCGCGAGGAUCGGCCUAGGGUAAAACUGGUGACUGGGGC